rnacentral:rRNA from 1 species
CUACGGGCGGCUGCAGUGAGGAAUAUUGCACAAUGGGGGGAACCCUGAUGCAGCAACGCCGCGUGGAGGAUGACGCAUUUCGGUGUGUAAACUCCAUUUAUAUGUCAAGAAAAUGACGGUAGCAUAUGAAUAAGCACCGGCUAACUCCGUGCCAGCAGCCGCGGUAAUACGGAGGGUGCAAGCGUUACUCGGAAUCACUGGGCGUAAAGGACGCGUAGGCGGGUUGGAAAGUCAGGUGUGAAAUCCUACAGCUUAACUGUAGAACUGCACUUGAAACUUCUAAUCUAGAGUAUGAGAGGGGGAGAUGGAAUUAGUGGUGUAGGGGUAAAAUCCGUAGAUAUCACUAGGAAUACCUAAAGCGAAGGCGAUCUCCUGGAACAUUACUGACGCUAAGGCGUGAAAGCGUGGGGAGCAAACAGGAUUAGAUACCCGCGUAGUC